AACUAUAACGGUCCUAAGGUAGCGAAAUUCCUUGUCAGGUAAGUUCUGACCCGCACGAAAGGUGUAACGAUUUGGGCGCUGUCUCGGCAGCAGACUCGGUGAAAUCUUAGUACCUGUGAAAAUGCAGGUUACCCGCAACUAGACGGAAAGACCCCAUGGAGCUUUACUGCAGCCUGAUAUUGAAUUCUGGUCAUACAUGUACAGGAUAGGUGGGAGACAAAGAGACGUGCACGCCAGUGUACGAGGAGUCGCCGUUGGGAUACCACUCUUGUGUGACCGGGGUUCUAACCUGGUAUCGAAAACAGGUACGGGGAGAGUGUCAGGUGGGCAGUUUGACUGGGGCGGUCGCCUCCCAAAGAGUAACGGAGGCGCCCAAAGGUACGCUCAGAUUGGAUGGAAACCAAUCGCCGAGUGCAAUUGCAGAAGCGUGCUUGACUGUGAGACUUACAAGUCGAACAGGGACGAAAGUCGGGAAUAGUGAUCCGGCGGUGCCGAAUGGAAGGGCCGUCGCUCAACGGAUAAAAGCUACCCUGGGGAUAACAGGCUGAUCUCGCCCAAGAGUUCACAUCGACGGCGAGGUUUGGCACCUCGAUGUCGGCUCAUCGCAUCCUGGAGCUGGAUUCGGUUCCAAGGGUUGGGCUGUCCGCCCAUUAAAGCGGUACGCGAGCUGGGUUCAGAACGUCGUGAGACAGUUCGGUCCCUAUCUGUUGUGGGCGAAGGAGAUCUGCGGAGAGCUGUCCUCAGUACGAGAGGACCGGGAUGGACCUACCGCUGGUGCACCGGUUGUUCCGCCAGGGGCAUAGCCGGGUAGCUAAGUAGGGAAAGGAUAAGCGCUGAAAGCAUCUAAGCACGAAGCCUACUCCAAGAUGAGAUCUCCCAUUCGCAAGAAGUAAGACCCCUUAAAGACGAUAAGGUAGAUAGGCCAGGGAUGGAAGUGCAGUGAUGUACGGAGUUGACUGGUACUAAUCGGUCGAGGACUUAAUCAG
rnacentral:rRNA from 1 species